rnacentral:rRNA from 1 species
UACGUAGGGUGCGAGCGUUGUCCGGAAUUACUGGGCGUAAAGAGCUCGUAGGUGGUUUGUCGCGUUGUCCGUGAAAACUCACAACUCAAUUGUGGGCGUGCGGGCGAUACGGGCAGACUGGAGUACUGCAGGGGGAGACUGGAAUUCCUGGUGUAGCGGUGGAAUGCGCAGAUAUCAGGAGGAACACCGGUGGCGAAGGCGGGUCUCUGGGCAGUAACUGACGCUGAGGAGCGAAAGCGUGGGGAGCGAACAGGA